rnacentral:rRNA from 2 species
AGUCUGAUGGAGCAACGCCGCGUGAGUGAAGAAGGCUUUCGGGUCGUAAAACUCUGUUGUUGGAGAAGAAUGGUCGGCAGAGUAACUGUUGUCGGCGUGACGGUAUCCAACCAGAAAGCCACGGCUAACUACGUGCCAGCAGCCGCGGUAAUACGUAGGUGGCAAGCGUUAUCCGGAUUUAUUGGGCGUAAAGCGAGCGCAGGCGGUUUUUUAAGUCUGAUGUGAAAGCCCUCGGCUUAACCGAGGAAGCGCAUCGGAAACUGGGAAACUUGAGUGCAGAAGAGGACAGUGGAACUCCAUGUGUAGCGGUGAAAUGCGUAGAUAUAUGGAAGAACACCAGUGGCGAAGGCGGCUGUCUGGUCUGUAACUGACGCUGAGGCUCGAAAGCAUGGGUAGCGAACAGGAUUAGAUACCCUGGUAGUCCAUGCCGUAAACGAUGAAUGCUAGGUGUUGGAGGGUUUCCGCCCUUCAGUGCCGCAGCUAACGCAUUAAGCAUUCCGCCUGGGGAGUACGACCGCAAGGUUGAAACUCAAAGGAAUUGACGGGGGCCCGCACAAGCGGUGGAGCAUGUGGUUUAAUUCGAAGCAACGCGAAGAACCUUACCAGGUCUUGACAUCUUUUGAUCACCUGAGAGAUCAGGUUUCCCCUUCGGGG